AAAGUCGUAACAAGGUUUCCGUAGGUGAACCUGCGGAAGGAUCAUUACAAAAAAAAAGAAGGAUAAGAUGUUGAAACGAGUGGAAAAGGAGGGAGAUUUUUCUUUUUUCUUUUCUUUCACUAAUUAUAUACUAUCCAUGGACGCAUAUUGAUCAAUCAAACAAUUAAUAUACAACACUUUUAACAAUGGAUCUCUUGGCUCUU
rnacentral:misc_RNA from 1 species